rnacentral:rRNA from 1 species
UACGGAGGGCGCAAGCGUUAUUCGGAAUUACUGGGCGUAAAGCGCGUGUAGGUGGUUUUGUAAGUCUGGCGUGAAAGCCCACGACUCAAUCGUGGAAGUGCGCUGGAUACUGCAAGACUAGAGUACAGGAGAGGUGAACGGAAUUCCUGGUGUAGAGGUGAAAUUCGUAGAUAUCAGGAGGAACAACGGAGGCGAAAGCGGUUCACUGGACUGUCACUGACACUGAGACGCGACAGCGUGGGGAGUGAACGGG